UACGUAGGGACCGAGCGUUGUCCGGAUUCAUUGGGCGUAAAGAGCUCGUAGGCGGCUGUUCAAGUCGAACGUGAAAACUCGGGGCUCAACUCCGAGCCUGCGUUCGAUACUGGACGGCUAGAGUCUGGUAGGGGGAUCUGGAAUUCCUGGUGUAGCGGUGGAAUGCGUAGAUAUCAGGAGGAACACCGAUGGCGAAGGCAGGUCUCUGGGCAUUAACUGACGCUGAGGAGCGAAAGCAUGGGGAGCGAACAGG
rnacentral:rRNA from 1 species